rnacentral:rRNA from 1 species
CGACCGGUGCACGGGUGAGUAACGCGUAUGCAACCUGCCCGAUACCGGGGUAUAGCCCAUGGAAACGUGGAUUAACACCCCAUAGUACUUUUAUCCUGCAUGGGAUGUGAGUUAAAUGUUCAAGGUAUCGGAUGGGCAUGCGUCCUAUUAGUUAGUUGGCGGGGUAACGGCCCACCAAGACGAUGAUAGGUAGGGGUUCUGAGAGGAAGGUCCCCCACAUUGGAACUGAGACACGGUCCAA